rnacentral:rRNA from 1 species
UACGGGGGGGGCAAGCGUUGUUCGGAAUUACUGGGCGUAAAGGGCUCGUAGGCGGCCCUCUCAGUCGGAUGUGAAAUCCCCAGGCUUAACCUGGGAACGGCAUCCGAUACUGGAGGGCUUGAAUUCGGGAGAGGGAUGCAGAAUUCCAGGUGUAGCGGUGAAAUGCGUAGAUAUCUGGAGGAACACCGGUGGCGAAGGCGGCAUCCUGGACCGGCAUUGACGCUGAGGAGCGAAAGCGUGGGGAGCGAACAGG